rnacentral:rRNA from 1 species
UACAGAGGAGCCAAGCGUUGUCCGGAUUGACUGGGCGUAAAGCGCACGCAGGCGGACGCGCGCGUGGGGUGUGAAAUCUGGCCGCUUAACGGCCAGGCGCCAUCCCAUACGGCGCGUCUGGAGUGAUGCAGAGGUCGAUGGAAUUGCCGGUGUAGUGGUGAAAUGCGUAGAGAUCGGCAGGAACAGCCCAGGGGGAAACCAGUCGACUGGGCAUCUACUGACGCUGAGGUGCGAGAGCGUGGGGAGCGAACCGGAU